CUCUCAUUGGCCAGAUAUUUAUUACUUAAGGGUAAUAUUUCAGUGCAGAGAGAAUAAAGGAUUCCAUUUCCUUGCAUUUAGCAAAAAAUAUAUUUGGAUAUGAAUGCCGGAAGUAAGAAUAAUAUCCGAACCACGCAAUGC
rnacentral:ncRNA from 1 species